rnacentral:rRNA from 1 species
UACGUAGGGUGCAGGCGUUAAUCGGAAUUACUGGGCGUAAAGGGCGCGCAGGCGGCGCAUUUUGUCAGGCGUGAAAGCCCCGGGCUUAACCUGGGAACUGCGUUUGAUACGGAUGGGCUAGAGUUCGGGAGAGGAGAGUGGAAUUCCCAGUGUAGAGGUGAAAUUCGUAGAUAUUGGGAAGAACACCGGUGGCGAAGGCGGCUCUCUGGACCGAGACUGACGCUGAGGCGCGAAAGCCAGGGGAGCAAACGGG